rnacentral:rRNA from 1 species
UACGGGGGGGGUAAGCGUUGUUCGGAAUUACUGGGCGUAAAGGGCUCGUAGGCGGCCAACUAAGUCGGACGUGAAAUCCCUCAGCUUAACUGGGGAACUGCGUCUGAGACUGGAUGGCUUGAGUGCAGGAGGGGAACGCGGAAUUCCAGGUGUAGCGGUGAAAUGCGUAGAUAUCUGGAGGAACACCGGUGGCGAAGGCGGCGUUCUGGACUGCAACUGACACUGAGGAACGAAAGCCAGGGGAGCAAACGGG